CUAAGCAUAUCAAUAAGCGGAGGAAAAGAAACUAACAAGGAUUCCCAUAGUAACUGCGAGUGAAGCGGGAAAAGCUCAAAUUUAAAAUCUGGCGGUCUCUGGCUGUCCGAGUUGUAAUCUAGAGAAGCAUUACCCACGCUGGACCGUGUACAAGUCUCCUGGGAUGGAGCGUCAUAGAGGGUGAGAAUCCCGUCUCUGACACGGACUACCAGGGUUUUGUGGUAUGCUCUCAAAGAGUCGAGUUGUUUGGGAAUGCAGCUCUAAAUGGGUGGUAAAUUCCAUCUAAAGCUAAAUAUUGGCGAGAGACCGAUAGUGAACAAGUACCGUGAGGGAAAGAUGAAAAGAACUUUGGAAAGAGAGUUAAACAGUACGUGAAAUUGCUGAAAGGGAAACGCUUGAAGUCAGUCGCGUCGGCUGGGGAUCAGCCUCGCUCUUUGCGUGGUGUAUUUCCUGGUUGACGGGUCAGCAUCAAUUUUGACCGCUGGAAAAAGUCUUGGGGAAUGUAGCAUCUUCUGAUGUGUUAUAGCCCCUUGUCACAUACGGUGGUUGGGAUUGAGGAACUCAGCACGCCGCAAGGCCGGGUUUCGACCACGUUCGUGCUUAGGAUGCUGGCAUAAUGGCUUUAAUCGACCCGUCUUGAAACACGGACCAAGGAGUCUAACAUGCCUGCGAGUGUUUGGGUGGAAAACCCGAGCGCGCAAUGAAAGUGAAAGUUGAGAUCCCUGUCGUGGGGAGCAUCGACGCCCGGACCAGAACUUUUGGGACGGAUCCGCGGUAGAGCAUGUAUGUUGGGACCCGAAAGAUGGUGAACUAUGCCUGAAUAGGGUGAAGCCAGAGGAAACUCUGGUGGAGGCUCGUAGCGAUUCUGACGUGCAAAUCGAUCGUCAAAUUUGGGUAUAGGGGCGAAAGACUAAUCGAACCAU
rnacentral:rRNA from 1 species